GCUUACGGCCAUACCAGCCUGGGUACGCCCGAUCUCGUCUGAUCUCGGAAGCUAAGCAGGGUCGGGCCUGGUUAGUACUUGGAUGGGGUACAGCCUGGGAAUACCAGGUGCUGUAAGCA
rnacentral:rRNA from 1 species